UCUCCGUUGGUGAACCAGCGGAGGGAUCAUUACCAAGUGCAAACUCAUAACCCUUUGUGAACCUAUAUUUGUUGCUACGGCGGCUCGCUCUCGGGCGAGCCCACCGGUAAUAUCAGUAUCUCUGUUUGAACCCGACGAUACUUCUGAGUGUUCUUAGCGAACAGUUAAAACUUUUAACAACGGAUCUCUUGGCUCUA
rnacentral:misc_RNA from 1 species